rnacentral:tRNA from 1 species
GCCCGCCUCGUCCAGUGGUUAGGACAUCUCGUUGUGGCCGAGGAAACCUGAGUUCGAUUCUCAGGGCGGGCA